CGCCCGGGAAUUACGAGCACACUUAAAACCCAAAGGACUUGACGGUGUCCCAUUCCCACUAGAGGAGCCUGUUCUAUAAUCGAUAACCCCCGCUUUACCUCACCACUUUUUGCUUAUUCAGCCUGUAUACCUCCGUCGCAAGCUUGCCCUGUGAACGCCUAUCGAGCAAGCCCAAGGAUCUAACNCACCAACACGUCAGGUCAAGGUGCAGCCUAUGAAGUGGGAAGCAAUGGGCUACAAUUUCUAAAUUAGAACAAACGAAAAACUGCAUGAAACACAGUUAUGAAGGUGGAUUUAGUAGU
rnacentral:rRNA from 5 species